GAUAAACGCUGGCGGCGUGCUUCAGGCAUGCAAGUCGAACGGACACUACGGUGUCAGUGGCGGACGGGUGAGUAACACGUAAGUAACCUGCCCAGAAGUGGGGAAUAACUGGCCGAAAGGCCGGCUAAUACCGCAUGUGAUGGCUCUUCCCUGGAGGGGUCAUGAAAGGAUUUAUUCGCUUCUGGAGGGGCUUGCGGCCGAUUAGCUAGUUGGUGGGGUAAUGGCCUACCAAGGCUGCGAUCGGUAGCUGGUCUGAGAGGACGGUCAGCCACACGGGGACUGAGAUACGGCCCCGACUCCUACGGGAGGCAGCAGCUAGGAAUCUUGGGAAUGGGCGAAAGCCUGACCCAGCAACGCCGCGUGGGCGAUGAAGGCCUUCGGGUCGUAAAGCCCUUUUGUGGGGGAAGAUGAUGACGGUACCCCACGAAUAAGCCACGGCUAACUACGUGC
rnacentral:rRNA from 1 species